CUCGACGAGUUCAGAUGUUUAGAUACGCUCGCUAUAAAAAGUAUUUGCCAUUAUAUUUAUUACAGCAUUUUGGUACUAAUUCUGUACAUAUAUAGUGAAUUUUGAAUCAUUUAAUAAUAUUAUAGUACACUAUAAAAAUUUGAUACCAUAAAAAUGAAACGUAUAACCUAAUGAAAAAUACAUUUCGCUGAAGAGGAAGACAUACGAAUAUUUUUUUUAAACCAAUAGGAAUUUGGUGUUUUAACCAGUGAAAUAAAGUGUUGCUGUAGAAGUGCGUAUGGAAUCGUGACGCGACAAAACUCGUCCACAUCAAAUCCUAGAGCGAUUCUUGAGGAACGUUUGGCGAACGAGCGUUGUUACAAAGCACGCGCACAAACGUAAAACACGAUCGCGCUAUUGACGUCGUUCAAGCAACAAUAACGACUUUACGAGGCUCGUUAAACGUCUCGAUAUCCCUUAUUGCCGUUCAACGAGCUUCGUUACAACCGGCGAACGAACAAUUCGCGUUUCGCGAAAGGCUUCUGCGCAGCAGACUCGAUAUUUAUUGGUAAAACGCGACAUAACUCUGCAAAUUGCUUUUGAAACUUCGGAAAAAAUGAACGAUGACAUUUUACAACGUCCAUUAUGGACCGAGAUAAGGCGGGAUACGAGUGGAAUGUUUGCUUAAAAGAAGAAGUUAGGAUGGCGUUGUAGCAUGUAAUCGGAUGUGGAAAUCAGAUAGUUUCAAAUACAGCUGUAUCCUGAUGAGUGGAUUCCUUUUUUUUACCUACGGCCUACCCUGUUCGGAUUGCCAGAAACAUGAUAUAUAACGGAAACUAAAAGUCGAUAUGAAGUUAAUGAACCGCCAAUCACCAAGCACAGCCGAUCAAAAUUUUAUCCUCGAUUUACAGUGAAAUUUUCUC
rnacentral:lncRNA from 1 species